rnacentral:lncRNA from 1 species
AUUGUGAAAUCUUUAUCUACCCCAUUGGGUCUUGAAUGAGUUUUAGAGGUUUAAGUAUUACAUUUAGGUCUUUGAUCCAUUUUAAGUUUAGUUUUGUAUAUGGUGUGAGGUAGGGGUCCAAAAUUAUUCUUUGGCAUGUGUUUAGCUUUUCCAGCACCAUUUGUUGAAAAGAUCAUUCUUUCCCCAUUGAAUUGUCUUGUCAAUUAUUUUAUUUUUUUUGUCUUUUUGCCUUUUCUAGGGCCGCUCCUGCAGCAUAUGGAUGUUCUCAGGCUAGGGGUCUAAUUGGAGCUGUAGCUGCCAGCCUAUGCCAGAGCCACAGCAUCGCCAGAUCUGAGCCGAGUCUGUGACCUACACCACAGCUCACGGCAAUGCCGAAUCGUUAACCCACUGAACAAGGCCAGGGAUUGAACCUGCAAUCUCAUGGGUCCUAGUCAGAUGCGUUAACCACUGAGCCAUGACAGGAACUCUGUCUUAGCAAUUAUUAACAACAGCUUAUUAUUAUUGACAGCUUCUCAAAAGCACUGAAGAUUGACAACAUGGUAAGGAAUUACCAUGUCAAAAAAUGAAGAGAAAGGUAAAGAGCAUGGAAGCUCACUAUUAUUAACAAACAAUAUAAAAAUUAAGGUAAAAUCAUUGCUACAGAUGAAAAGGGAAUCUUCAUACACAUAAACUGUUCAAUUCACCCAGAGAUAUAAAAGUGUAAACUGUUUAUGUUCCUAAUAACAUAGUCUCAAAUUAUAAAGGCAAACAUUGAGAGUACUAUAAGGAGAUUAAACAAAUCCAUAAUCACAGUGGUAGAUUUCAACAUACUUCUCUCAAUAGUUGACAGUACAGGCAGGAAAAAAAAAUCCCCUCUCUCUCCCUCUCCCUCUAUCUGUGUAUAUACAUGUAUAAGUACAUAUAAAAUUUGAACAAUACAGUGAAUAAAUGUUUUUAAUAAAGUUUUAAAUUUAAAUUAAUUUUGGAAUAACUUUAAAUAUAUAGAAAAGUUGCAAAGACAGUACAGAGAAGCUCUUCACCAAGCCUCUCAUGUGAACAUCUUAAGUAACCACAGUAUAAUUGUAAAAAUUGAGAAAUUAACUUUAGUAGAUUUACUGUUAAUUCAUGUGCAGACUUUAUUCAGAUUAGCAAUUUUUCCACUAAUGUCCAUUUUCUUUUCCAGUAUCCAUCCCAGGACACCACAUUGGAUUUAGUUGUCAUGUCUCUUCUAGUAUGUCACAGUUUGUCAGUCUUUGUCUUUGCUAACCUUGGCUAAUUUUGCAUGGUUAGGUAUUUUGUAGAAUGUCCCUCCAUUUGGGUUUGUUUCAUAUGAUAUUUUCUCAUGAUUGAAAGUUCAUGGUUUCUCUGGGGUUAUGGGUUUUUGGAAAGAACACCAUAGAAGUGAAGCAUGCAUUUCUUUGUAUCACAUAUAGGGGUAUGUGAUUUCCUUUUUUUAAAAAACAGUUGCACCUGUAGCAUAUGGAAGUUCUUGGGCUAAGGGUCGAAACAGCUGCAGCUGCUGGCCUGCACCACAGCCGCAGCAAUGCCAGAUCUGAGCCACAUCUGCGACCUAUGUGGCAGUUUGUGGCAAUGCCGGAUCCUUAACCCACUGAGUGAGGCCAGGGAUUAAACCUGCAUCCUCACAGACACAAUGUUGGGUUCUUAACCCACUGAGCCACAAUGGGAACUCUGGUAUGUGAUUUCAGAAUGACUUAUCGUUGGUGAUGUUAACUCUGAUCACUUGGUUAGGGUGCUGUCUGCCAGGUUUUUCCACUGUGAAGUUACUAUUUUCCUUUUCCAUAGUCUAUUCUUUGGAAUGGAGCCAUUAAAUCCUGCCCAGACUCAAGGAAUGGGGUGUUAUGUUCCCCCCUCCUUUAGGGUAGACUAUCUACAUAAUUUCUUUCAGAUUCUUUUGUAUGGGAGAUUUUUCCCUCCCCCCUCAUUUAUAUGCUUACUCAAUCAUUUAUUUAUAUCUGUGGGGACUCAUCAAUAUUUAUUCUCUGAGUUAUAAUCCAAUAUUAUUAUUUUGUUGCUCAAAUUUGAGCUAAUGAAAAGAGACUGAUUACUGUGUCAAAACUGCAGAAUAUAAUUUUUUUCAAAUACAUAUGGAACAUUUAUCAAAUAUGAUCAUGAACUGGGCUAUAAUGAUACUCCUAACAUUUCAAAUAAUUAAAAUCACAGAGAAUGUAUUUUCCAACUUUGGUACAAUUAAAUUAGAUAUGAAUUAAUAAACUAUAUCUAUAAAAUCCUCAUAUUUGGGAAAUUAAGAAAUAGAUUUUGAAAUAACUCUUGGAUCAAAUAAGACAUUGGAGGAGUUCCUGUCCUGGCACAGUGGUUAACGAAUCCGACUAGGAACCAUGAGGUUGCAGGUUCGAUCCCUGGCCUCGCUCAGUAGAUUUUUUUAAAAUCAUGUAAAUUAAAAAAUGCAAGUGUGAAAAAAGUUAAUACUAUUUACCACAGAGGUAAUACUAUAUAUUAUUUGUGAAUACAAACAUAUUUAUAAAAGCAUACCCAGGAAGAUAUACACCAACUUUGGGUUACUUUUGGAGAGAGAAGGAGGAAGGGAGAGAGAAAGAAAACGUGAUGGAGGAGAACUUUAGUUGUAUCACUAACAUAAAAUUUCUUUAAAGAAAAAGAUCAAAAGCAAGUAUGCCAUCUUCACCAAAGUGUUAAAUCCACCACUUCCUAGCUGUGUGAUUUUGGUCAAAUUAUUUGAUCUUUAUGAGCCCCGAUUUCCUAUCUGUAAAAAGGGAUAUUAAUUGUGCCUGUAAUUCAUAAAGUUGUUCUGAGGAUUAAAUGAGGUAAUAUAUACAUUUUUUUUGCAUAGUCACCAUGUGAGACUCCCUAAAUCAUAGCUGUUAUUAUUACCAGCAAGAAAGUGUCAAAAACAUUCAUUCAGCUGUGAGUCAGUAAGUGCAUGUGGGGAAAAGUGCAUUCUAGAGAGAGGUGAUGGGUGACACGUGAGGGUACAGCGCUGAGUGUGCCCUUGGGCAGAGAGAGCAGGGCUGGAACGCUGCCCUCUGCUGUGUGUGCCCCCCCCCUGAAAUGUUUGUAUAAGUUUGUGUCUUUUAGGGUGGUGGGUAAUGAGUACCUUUACCUGGUACAAAAUUUUAAUCCCAAAUUUCCAGAGAACGGGGUGGGACCUCCAGAGUGGUUUGCUGUCUUCCUGGCCACUGACUUGUAAAGAACAGGACAGUAGUGGAGAAUGGAACUCAGACCCUGAAAGAGUUGGUGAAGAAGUCACCACCCUCCCUUCUCAGCCUUGAGGCAAGUCUGGAAGGAUAACUGAUUUCUUCUACCAAUGGCUUUACGUCCUUCUCAGGUUAGGAAAAUUUGUAUAAAGUCCUAUCUGUGCUGCCUGUUGCCCAUUCCUUUCUGAUAGCAAAAUGAAGUCCACUGAGCAAGGCUCAAAAAGGUUAUAGAAAAAUCACAGAGAUACCUUAAGUGGCAUUUUAAAAAGAGACUUUGUGGUGGCAUGGGGUUGGGCUUGUUGGUACUACCCUCACCAGAGAAAGAUAGAAGUUGGCUUUACCUCUUCCUGUUUAUUCAAUAAUCAGCUAUAGCCUACGGACCUUUAGGUAUCCAGUGCCCACAAGAGCCUCCUCCUUGCCAUCAGAACAGUAGUCAUUUUACACUCUAGUAUAAAUGAAUUUAUAUUAAUAAUGUAAAUGUAUUUUGGAGGUGGCACUAUUGGUAAGCUAUUUCUAAGGACUGCUAGGGCAAAAAGGGCCUGUCAAUUUCCUUCAAUUCCUCCAAUUUUCUCCCAAAUCACAAAAAGUCCAAUGUUUUUUCCUAAAGGCUAUGUCCCCAGUCUUUCUGUACCAGUCAGUCUAUGCUCAUCCUGAGAUAACUAGCUGCUCAUAGAUCUGCCGCUUAGUUGGUUCCUCCCCUUCUGCUUUAGCCCCUCAUCUUCUGCUCUAACCUCAAGACUCUCAGAUCCUUGGAGACUGAAGGGCUGUUCCUCUUUGUUUCACACCACUGCACUUGGCAGAUGACUCAUCUGUCCUUGCCCUCCCCUCCAAGUGUGGUGAUCCAAGCAUGACUUGCCAGUCAGUUAGUGGUUUGGGGCUUGAUGUCCUAGAGUUCCUGCUUCCUUGAAUUCUCCAGGUCACCUUGGAAUGCGAGCAGAUAUAAGAAAUAUAUGUGUACAUGAGUGUGUUUGUUGUGGGAAUCGGGGUGGGAAGACUUAAACUGUGAAUGACUUGAGCGAAAAUGUUCAAUAGUGAUGUUACUUAAAUAUAUGUGAGACCUAACAUGGACAAAGGAAAUACAGAAAUCCAGUUUGUCUGCAUAAAAUGAAUUUAUGAAAUCUGCUUACUCUUUGUGGCUAAUUUUACCAUGUGGACAAUAAUAACUAUGCAAGUUGUCGAUAUAGGUCAGAUGAAAUUGAUUGUAAGCUGUAUAUUUACUGACAGUGUGACAUUGUGUUCAGCUAUGCUUACACUUGUCUUGAUUAUCUACUAUGGUUUCCUGCCCAUGUAUUCUGCUCACGUGGGGAAAAGAAUUCAGGGAACGUGCCUCUAGCAUUUCUUAGAUUAACUGCCCAGGUGCCUCCUCUCUUUUCUUUUGGCAUCUUCUGGGCAGCUACAUCUCAGAGGUCACUGUGGGUACAAAGUACAAGAAAAGAAAGCAUAUAUAAUAAAAGGUGUAAAUUUUCCUAAAGCUGUAUAAAACUGUUCCUCAGUACUCAGCAUAUAUAACUUAUAUUUACUGUAUAUGCUUUUUCUCUAUUCUAUUUACCACCUUUGAUUCCUGGGAGAUUAAAUCUGCACAAGCGUAGAUACAUACUAAUAUGAUGAACUUUAAAAUGUUAUUUUCCUUCCUUUAUCAUCAAUGAUUAUCAUUUAAAGUUGUUAUGAAGGCUUUGUGACAGAGGUUAUACUAAAAUUGAAAGUAUAUGAACUUACUGAAAAUCAUGUAAAAAUUAGCUUAUGUUUUUAAUGUGGUUUCUCAGAUUGAUUAAUUUAUGCAAUUGAAUUGUUCUACUCUCUUGUAAACAUAUAUUCACACUUUGCAAACUUGCACACCUGCAAAGUGAGGUGGUAUGUGUGAUGUUAUCAUUGUUUCAUCAAGAAUGAUAACUCAGUCAGGUUACUUUUAAAAUCUCACUUUAUAGGCCAUUAUAUAUCAUCUUCCUGUUUCAAUACAGUGGAAAUUGAUUCCAUAAAGGUCUUAAAGGUCAAAUGUAUCUUAAAUUUAAUAAUAAUUUUAAAACACCUUGGCAUUUAUGAAGUGUUGUUGCAUUAAUUUAGAAAUAGUUUGAAGUUGUUAUAAAGUUUAACAUUGUAUGAAAGCACUUCCUCACAAGAUAGAUGUAUCAGUUUGGCUAUGGUAAAUUUUUUCUUUAGGGAUGUGUAUGUCUUUAACAAAAUUACUUUUUCAAAAAUUGAAACCAUGACAAGGACAUCCCUUUAGUAACCAGGAUUAUAGGAAUUAUGAAAUAGUCUGUUUCUCCCUCUUUCUUGCCU